GGAGGGGUGCCCGAGUGGCUAAAGGGGGCGGGCUGUAAACCCGCUGACUUCGGUCUACAUAGGUUCGAAUCCUAUCCCCUCCACCA
rnacentral:tRNA from 1 species